rnacentral:rRNA from 1 species
AACGAACGCUGGCGGCAGGCUUAACACAUGCAAGUCGAACGCCCCGCACGGGGAGUGGCAGACGGGUGAGUAACGCGUGGGAACAUACCCUUUUCUACGGAAUAGCUCUGGGAAACUGGAAUUAAUACCGUAUACGCCCUACGGGGGAAAGAUUUAUCGGGGAAGGAUUGGCCCGCGUUGGAUUAGCUAGUUGGUGGGGUAAAGGCCUACCAAGGCGACGAUCCAUAGCUGGCCUGAGAGGAUGAUCAGCCACAUUGGGACUGAGACACGGCCCAAACUCCUACGGGAGGCAGCAGUGGGGAAUAUUGGACAAUGGGCGCAAGCCUGAUCCAGCCAUGCCGCGUGAGUGAUGAAGGCCUUAGGGUUGUAAAGCUCUUUCACCGAUGAAGAUAAUGACGGUAGUCGGAGAAGAAGCCCCGGCUAACUUCGUG